ACGCUGGCGGCGUGCUUAACACAUGCAAGUCGAACGAUGAACCCCAGCUUGCUGGGGGGAUUAGUGGCGAACGGGUGAGUAACACGUGAGUAACCUGCCCUUAACUCUGGGAUAAGCCUGGGAAACUGGGUCUAAUACUGGAUAUUGACUUUACCUCGCAUGGGGUUUGGUUGAAAGAUUUAUUGGUUUUGGAUGGACUCGCGGCCUAUCAGCUUGUUGGUGAGGUAAUGGCUCACCAAGGCGACGACGGUAGCCGGCCUGAGAGGGUGACCGGCCACACUGGGACUGAGACACGGCCCAGACUCCUACGGGAGGCAGCAGUGGGGAAUAUUGCACAAUGGGCGAAAGCCUGAUGCAGCGACGCCGCGUGGGGGAUGACGGCCUUCGGGUUGUAAACCUCUUUCAGUAGGGGACAAGGCCAAUGUUUAGUUGGUUGAGGGUACUUGCAGAAGAAGCACCGGCUAACUACGUGCCAGCAGCCGCGGUAAUACAGAGGGUGCAAGCGUUAAUCGGAAUUACUGGGCGUAAAGCGCGCGUAGGUGGUUUGUUAAGUUGGAUGUGAAAUCCCCGGGCUCAACCUGGGAACUGCAUUCAAAACUGACUGACUAGAGUAUGGUAGAGGGUGGUGGAAUUUCCUGUGUAGCGGUGAAAUGCGUAGAUAU
rnacentral:rRNA from 1 species